rnacentral:lncRNA from 1 species
UUAUGCCUCUGUCAGAGUGAGUGUCAAUGUGUACAAAAGGUCUUGGAUAUUCUGUCCCAAAAUUUUCCUCGAAGUUUUCUUUGUGGUCUGUUGAAAAAACAAUUACAGUGUCCUGGGACCGGGAUGAUGGCCAGUGUGGGAAAUGGCAGGGGAAGGGAGCAGUUCAGGUACCCAGCCUCCCCUUGGCUUCUCUUUGGAGAGGAUUGGGCUGGGGUCCAGGCUGAUUGGCUGUGGAACCAGAUCCUUGCGAGAUCAGGUCCCGAGUGCCCCGACCCUCCUCUUACUUCUCGCCCACCCGAAUCCCUCUCGCAGCCUGGAGCGGUACCAACGACGCAGAAGACUGCUGCCUGUCUGUUACCAGCCUCAUCAUCCCCCGCCACAUCGUGUGUGCUUAUCGCCGUCUCAGCCCAGAGAACGGCUGCCGACUGCCCGCAGUAGUGUUCACUACACAGAAAUGUCACCAGCUCUGUGCUCCCCCCUGAACGGCUUUGGGUGAAACGUCUCAUUAAGAGACUGGAUAAAAACGAUUCCCAGUACAAGUGCAACUGCAGUUAGUUUUAGGCACAGGACAAGAUGAGGAAAGAAUUUGGACAGCAGGAUGGAAGUAUUUGAUCCAGCAGCCGAUAUGAGAGGAGGUCAUGAUGCCCCAGGACUGAUGAGGAAAGAGAAUCCAAGAAUCUAGCCCUCAGCUGCAGCCUGGAACUGAGAUGGGGUUGCUGGGGGGGUGGGGGUGGGGGUGAGGGAGAGAGGACAAAGAGUAGUUUCUGAGGUGUGAGCUUGAGUGUGAGUGUGAGUACUCAAGGCUGUGCAACACAGGCUCUGGGACCAUUUAAUAAAGGGUUUGAUGCUGGAAGUGGAAUGACUUUA